rnacentral:lncRNA from 1 species
GGAGACUCUGCUGAGGUAUAAACCCACAAUACAGUAUAAGUUUGUUAGAUGGUUGCAACCUAGAGAGGGAUGGAUUACUUGCAACACUGAUGGUGCAAGUAAAGGGAAUCCAGGCCCAAGUACUUAUGGUUUUUGUCUAAGGAAUAGCAGAGGAGACCUCAUAUAUGCAGAGGCCCAGAAUUUGGGGAUAACUACUAACAUGGAAGCAGAAGCAAAGGCAGUGUGGGAAGCAUUACAGUAUUGUAUUAGAAGUCAGCUAAACAAUAUUCAGUUGGAGACGGAUUCUCUAGUACUAAAAAAUAUGAUCUACAGAAAUUGGAGGAUACCGUGGGAGCUAGCAGAAAUAAUAGACGAUAUACAUGACAUGCUUAGAAAAAUCACUGUUAAUGUACAACAUAUUUUCAGAGAAGCAAACCAGUUAGCAGAUUUUAUAGCAAAUUCAGCAAUCAAUACAGAAGGAAAGCAAAUAUUCCUUAACUUUCAACAAUUACCAAGUAGAGGAAGAAAGCUUUUAAAUAUUGAUAAACGACAAGUCCCUUCAGUUCGAAUCAAGACAAGGAGAAUUAGCAACACUAACUACAAUGGACAGCAUGAUUAGAUGCAGAUUCGACAUUACAUGGUUCCACAACUAUGAUAUACACAAGGCAAAAUGGAUCGAUGACUGAAAAGUUGAGAGUAAGGAAGCCAAAUCUGAAGUGGGAGUGAGCAUCCGUCAAGGAGAUCGUACCAUUGAAGCUCAUGAGCAAGGUCUUCUUCUCUUAAACGACUUCAGCUACAUGAAAAAAUGGAACAGAAGGAGUGGAAAGGAGGACAGAACUGGGGAACUAAAUCAGGACUUACAUGGAUCUGACAGAUUGGGAAGCAAGGCACAUACUUUCUAUAAAUUUUAGCUUGAACUCAAGAUUCCUAUCCGGACAGUACACCUGCAAGGAGAACGGAGUCAAAUGGGAAGAAGAGAAAUGACAUUGAAACAAAAAUGGGUGCAUUACCUUUUCGAGUUGGUUAGUACACCACAGAGCACACGAGAUGGAUGGAGUAUAUUUAUCACUAAUAGUAGAAGAAACAUGAAGCAACAGCUCAAAGAGGCAAGGAAGAACAUUUACAGAGCCAAGAGCAAGAGAGGCGGAAGGAAGAAGAGAAAGGAGGAGGAGCUGAAAUUCCUUUUUAGGAAACCCUUAAGAAUAGGAACUUGUU